rnacentral:SRP_RNA from 1 species
CGUACCAGACGGGGAGCCAGCGGUGUCCUGUACCUGCAAUCCGCUAUAGCAGGGUUUGAUUCCCGUUUUGAGGCUUUUAUCUGUGAAGUCGGUGUCAAUAAGGGGUGUUGAUAUUCGGGUUCUGUGCAAUCGCCAUCUGUGAACCAUGUCAGGUCCUGACGGAAGCAGCAUUAAGCGGAGCAGGCGGUGUGCCGCAGACUCACCUGGAGGGAGCUACCUGUUGGAUUACCAUUCAUAGCUAACUGUCGAGAUUCGGGUGUACG